UUCCGCUGCUGCGCAUCACGCUCAGGUGUGCUCCUCAGGUGCGCCAAAGUUUAAUAUCGACCCUGGACCACUCGAGCGGAUGACGGGUGUCCGAGUUUGGAUGAAAAUACUGCGAAAAGAAGCAUUGGUUGAACUCAGAAUGCAGGGUUUUCUUCUUGUUUCUUUGUACAGGUGUGUGCAGGUGUUUCCUCGCUCUGUGCUGCAGCUCAGAGUCUGCAGAGAAAGAGAGCUACCGAGGUCCUCAACCUGCUGCUACGAGACCUCAGUGACAUCAGCGCCAUCAUCGGCACCAGUGACGUCAACACAGCUGAACUCUGUUGACGUCUUCCAGGAGGAUCCCCCGUCGGUGACCGUCUUCCUGCUCAGGUAGGAGACUCAAAGCUUUCUUGAUGUUGUUUUGUUAUGUUCCAGGUUUUAGGUCUUAUAGAUGUUUAGACUCAGUUAUUUGAAUCAGCUACUAAGAAGUCAAUUUAGAGUGGAGGAACAUCAACCUGGAACAUAAAACAACAUUAAGAAAGCUUUUGAGCUCCUACCCAAUGGAGCUGGAGGAUAGUGGGGGGAAGGGGACUGGCUGGAUGUAACCCCCUCACCUGUGACACCUUAUUGUAUUGUGCUGAUGUAACAUGUACAAAACACAGAGGUCAUGAUGUCUGUUCAAUAUUUUAUUGUAAUAAAACUACUGCUGUGUCCAUUUUGGAACAUUUUUUUAGAGCGCUACUCAAACGUUUAGCUGCGUUGCUCGAUCCUUACAAGUUAUACCUCGUUGUAAAGG